rnacentral:rRNA from 1 species
AUUGAACGCUGGCGGCAUGCCUUACACAUGCAAGUCGAACGGCAGCACGGGAGCUUGCUCCUGGUGGCGAGUGGUGAACGGGUGAGUAAUACAUCGGAACGUACCCUGAAGUAGGGGAUAACGUAGCGAAAGUUACGCUAAUACCGCAUAUUCUGUGAGCAGGAAAGAGGGGGAUCGCAAGACCUCUUGCUUUAGGAGCGGCCGAUGUCGGAUUAGCUAGUUGGUGAGGUAAAGGCUCACCAAGGCGACGAUCCGUAGCGGGUCUGAGAGGAUGAUCCGCCACACUGGGACUGAGACACGGCCCAGACUCCUACGGGAGGCAGCAGUGGGGAAUUUUGGACAAUGGGCGCAAGCCUGAUCCAGCCAUGCCGCGUGAGUGAAGAAGGCC